AAGCCUGGAGGCACACCAAUCAUGAGCCUGUGCGUAAGCCUGUGCGUACCCCUAGACACUCCCCUUAAGCUGCCCUAUAAGAUCUUUUGGGAGCCCGUAGGAGCCGUCUUUUCUAGCCGUCCGCCAUGGCAGGAAAAGACAACCUAGAAGGAAGAAGAAGUCAAAGCAAAACACAAGGGAACACAGACUUGCACUCGGAACACCCUUCAAGGGUCACUGUUCAGAACCCAUGAAGUCAAGUUUCCUCUGCUCUGUGCUGGGGACCUUGGCUACCAGAUGUGAUGAAAAAAAGGAAGCUCAUGUGGCCCCAGCACUGGGAAGACCAGGGCAAGAAGAUUCCCCUGAGUUCCAGAUCAACCCGAGAUACAGUGUGAGACCCUGCUCCCAGCCCCCUAGAAAGUGAAAUCUACAGUUCCAGUCUUUCCCUGGAGGGUUGGUUCCUGCAGAGCCACGGGUCUGCAGUCCACAUUGGAGGGCCAAGGAAGCUGUGUUCUGAUGCCAGAAGAAGAAUGCGGCACAGCAGCAGUGGCCAUCAACAGGGUGGAUGUACUCAUGAGCAAGAAGGGAAGGCAGGCAAACCUUUUCCUCUGGCUGGAAACUGCUGCCCACUUGGGGGUGGGGGUGGGGGGGCUCCCCCUCCCAUUUACUCCUGUCUGGAAAUCCCUCCCCCACAGACCCACCCAGAAGCACAAGUCUUAGUUUCUUCCUGAUCCAAUCAGCCUGACAAUGAAGAUUAACCACUAUGCCCUUCAAAGUCUUGAUGCUCUGGUUUAGGGGUGAAAGGCACGAAAGGGGCCAUGAUCUUCCUGCUUCUACUGUCUUCUCAGAUGCUACAGUGCCAUGUUUGGGAGUAAUGUAUCUUUUUUUUUAAUUUUUUUUUUUUAUUAGUUCAAGUUAGGGAACAAGCUUGUUUCACAUGUAAGUCCUUCUCCCUCUCCCUCCCCCACCCCAACCUACCCCCACCCCAUCCACCCACCACUCCCCAGGCAGGGUAGGGCCCUCAACCAGGGUUCUGCAAAGUCCACCAAAUCUUCCUGAGCUGGGCCUGGGCCCUUCCCCAUGUGUCCAGGCCAAGAGUGCACCCUUCAUGUGGGAUGGCCUCUCAAAGUCCCUUCUUACACCAGGGAAAAAUACUAAUCCACUACCAGAGGCUCCCUGGAGUGCAGAGGCCUCCUUAUUGACAUCCAUGUUCAGGGGUCUGGAUCAGUCUUGUACUGACUUCCCAGACAGCAUCUGGGGUUGAUGUGCUCUCCCUUGUUCAGGCCAAUUGUUUCUGUGGGUUUCUCCAACCUGGUACAGACCCCUUUGCUCUUCAUUCCUCCCUCUCUUCAACUAAAUUCCAGAUUUCAGCUCAGUGUAUAUCUGUGGAUGUCUGUCUCUGCUUCCAUCAGCUACUGGAUGAGGGCUCUCGUUAUGGAUCAGGUCGGCCGGGAGUAAAGUAUCUUAAAACACACUAAUUUGUUGCUAAUUUGCUACAAUGGAUCAACCAAUACAAACAUAUUAUUUUGUGCUAAAGUUUAUAAUUUACCCUGAUUUCCUCAAUUUCUCCCUAAGGUCCUUUAAAUGUCUUGGGACACCCCCCACCAAUGGCCUUUUGUUAUCAUCGCUGGUGAUGUUCGCUUAUUUCUACUGUCAUGCAAUAUCCUUUGUAUCACAGUCGGUUUUAUUUUAUUUAGAGAUUUAUUUAUUUUAUAUAUAUGGGUGUUUUGCCUCCAUGUACAUCUAUGUACCAUGUUCAUGCAUGUUGCCAAGAAGAAGGCAUCACACUCCUGGAGCUGGGAUUACAGAUUGUUGUGAGCCACUCCAUGGGUGCUGGGAAUUGAACCCAGGUUCUCCAGAAGUGCUCUCAACUGCUGAGCGAUCUCUCCAGCACUUGUGACUGUUUUUAAUGUUAACUUGCCACAAAUUAGAACCACCUGACUAUGGAGCUUCACCUGGAGAAGUGUCCUGGUGACCCUGAACAUGGGUGGUACCUUCUGGUAGCAGUCCUGAUGAAAAGAGUGUGUGUGGCGAGAAAGAUCUAUCUGGCUUUUGCUCCUUGGCCUUCCUUUUGUAAGACAGUUAAUUUGCCCUGUUGCUGCUGCUGAUUUCUUUGCUGACAUCAGAGCAAGUGUUCCCAAGCAUUCUUAGCCGACUAGGGACCAGUGGCUCCAGGAACCUUCUGAGCUUCCAACACAAGAUUGGGAGUGCUGAAUCACCCUGUCUCAAAGGCCAUAUAAUGAGGUAUCAUGAUUUUUUUUUCCAGCUAUGCUGAGGGGCAAUAUGCAGAUGUCAGGAUCAAUUGUGUAUUGUCAAUGUCAAAAAUCAUCAUGCACAAUGAUUUUUAAUAGUAGGUGUGUUUACUGCUAUUAUUUGAUUCCAGUGCUGGGGAUUGAGUCCAGGGCCUCACACAUGCUGAUCAAGCACCUCUGAACUGCAUUCCCAGUCCUGCCUACAAUUCUGAAUACAAGAAAGCUUUGUAGCUUCUCGUUCUUUGCUACACAGUCUUGUAACUUUCCAGCUUGAAACUUCAGGCAAAUCUUCCUGAAGAUAUCAAGUUCAGUAUCUUGCCAGAUUCACGAACUGUUCUGCCAUCGGUCGCAAUAAUUUAUAUAUUAACAUCACAUAUCCUUCAUAUUCAAAACCUCAGUCUUUCACAGUACAUUAACAAAGCUACUAGAAAAACUGGAGUGCUGUGGCCAUAGUGUUGAAAGGGGCACACAAUGAGGUGGAAUAAGAAAGGAGCCAAAAACAAAACUGUUCUCUCUGAAAGAAAUAAUUCUAUCUAAGUCAACCGUCUCCUGUGACACUCUGAAGGAUGAUAUAUGACUCUGCAUAUGCAAUUGUCAGGGCCCAUAAAGAUGGCUCCGCGUCAUCUUGGAUCAAGGUCAGAAAGUUCAAUCAAAACUGUCCUUAGUAAGUCAUAAGACCUAAAGGUCUAAGGCAUGACUACUGCAGGAUGUUUUGAUCUUGAUAGUGGAUGUCUUACCUAAAUAACAACAGACUUGGUCUGAAGUGUGGUUACUCUUGACCCUCAAGGCCAGAUAAUGGGAAAUUGAGUCUAAGGUGUGGUUACCAAAUGUUUGGAGGAUUAAAGGAAGACAGUCUGUUUCUUUCUUACACAUGAUAAAGAAGUCUUUUGCCAUGUUCUCUGUUUGGUUGGGGGUACUUAAGAAUGUUGAAGAAUAAAC
ensembl:lncRNA